rnacentral:rRNA from 1 species
GAGUUUGAUCCUGGCUCAGAUUGAACGCUGGCGGCAGGCCUAACACAUGCAAGUCGAACGGUAACAGGAAGAAGCUUGCUUCUUUGCUGACGAGUGGCGGACGGGUGAGUAAUUUCUGGGAAACUGCCUGAUGGAGGGGGAUAACUACUGGAAACGGUAGCUAAUACCGCAUAACGUCGCAAGACCAAAGAGGGGGACCUUCGGGCCUCUUGCCAUCGGAUGUGCCCAGAUGGGAUUAGCUUGUUGGUGGGGUAACGGCUCACCAAGGCGACGAUCCCUAGCUGGUCUGAGAGGAUGACCAGCCACACUGGAACUGAGACACGGUCCAGACUCCUACGGGAGGCAGCAGUGGGGAAUAUUGCACAAUGGGCGCAAGCCUGAUGCAGCCAUGCCGCGUGUAUGAAGAAGGCCUUCGGGUUGUAAAGUACUUUCAGCGGGGAGGAAGGGAGUAAAGUUAAUACCUUUGCUCAUUGACGUUACCCGCAGAAGAAGCACCGGCUAACU